AUAUGCUUGUCUCAAAGAUUAAGCCAUGCAUGUCUCAGUACAAGCCGCAUUAAGGUGAAACCGCGAAAGGCUCAUUAAAUCAGUUAUGGUUCCUUAGAUCGUACCCACAUUUACUUGGAUAACUGUGGUAAUUCUAGAGCUAAUACAUGCAAACAGAGUUCCGACCGGAGACGGAAGGAAUGCUUUUAUUAGAUCAAAACCAAUCGGCGGCGGGUGCGUUCGCGCGCGCGUUCGCCGCUCAACCUGGUGACUCUGAAUAACUUUCGGCUGAUCGCACGGUCCAGCACCGGCGACGCAUCUUUCAAAUGUCUGCCUUAUCAACUGUCGAUG
rnacentral:rRNA from 1 species